CUCGUAGGCGGUUCAGCAAGUCGGUCGUGAAAGCCCGGGGCUCAACCCCGGGACGCCGGUCGAAACUGUUGUGACUUGAGUUCGGUAGAGGUGAGUGGAAUUCUCGGUGUAGCGGUGGAAUGCGCAGAUAUCGAGAGGAACACCCGUAGCGAAGGCGGCUCACUGGGCCGAUACUGACGCUGAGGAGCGAAAGCGUGGGGAGCAAACA
rnacentral:rRNA from 1 species